GAUGAAGAACGUAGCGAAAUGCGAUAAGUAAUGUGAAUUGCAGAAUUCAGUGAAUCAUCGAAUCUUUGAACGCACCUUGCGCUCCUUGGUAUUCCAAAGAGCAUGCCUGUUUGAGUAUCAUUAAAUUAUCAACUGUACCAAUUUGGUUGCAGAUUGGAUGUGGGAGAUUUUGCAGGCUUUUGAUUUCUCUUUGAGAAAACGGUCAGCUCUCCUGAAAUAUAUUAGCAGUGCCUUUGUUGGUUCAUUAGGUGUGAUAAUUUAUCUACAUCUUCACAUGGUACCUUCAUUUGUGUAAAGGUCAUAUUGCUUCUAAUUGUCUUUGGACAUAAAAAAAAAAAACAUAUAAUUGUAUGGAAAACUUGAUCUCAAAUCAGGCAGGACUACCCGCUGAACUUAAGCAUAUCAAAAGCGGAGGA
rnacentral:misc_RNA from 1 species